AGUUCGAUUCUGGCUCAGGAUGAACGCUGGCGGCGUGCUUAACACAUGCAAGUCGAACGGGAUCCAUCAGGCUUUGCUUGGUGGUAAGAGUGGCGAACGGGUGAGUAAUGCGUGACCGACCUGCCCCAUACACCGGAAUAGCUCCUGGAAACGGGUGGUAAUGCCGGAUGCUCCGACUCCUCGCAUGGGGUGUCGGGAAAGAUUAUAUCGGUAUGGGAUGGGGUCGCGUCCUAUCAGGUAGUCGGCGGGGUAACGGCCCACCGAGCCUACGACGGGUAGCCGGCCUGAGAGGGCGACCGGCCACAUUGGGACUGAGAUACGGCCCAGACUCCUACGGGAGGCAGCAGUGGGGAAUAUUGCACAAUGGGCGCAAGCCUGAUGCAGCGACGCCGCGUGCGGGAUGACGGCCUUCGGGUUGUAAACCGCUUUUGAUCGGGAGCAAGCCUUCGGGUGAGUGUACCUUUCGAAUAAGCACCGGCUAACUACGUGCCAGCAGCCGCGGUAAUACGUAGGGUGCAAGCGUUAUCCGGAAUUAUUGGGCGUAAAGGGCUCGUAGGCGGUUCGUCGCGUCCGGUGUGAAAGUCCAUCGCUUAACGGUGGAUCUGCGCCGGGUACGGGCGGGCUGGAGUGCGGUAGGGGAGACUGGAAUUCCCGGUGUAACGGUGGAAUGUGUAGAUAUCGGGAAGAACACCAAUGGCGAAGGCAGGUCUCUGGGCCGUUACUGACGCUGAGGAGCGAAAGCGUGGGGAGCGAACAGGAUUAGAUACCCUGGUAGUCCACGCCGUAAACGGUGGAUGCUGGAUGUGGGGCCCGUUCCACGGGUUCCGUGUCGGAGCUAACGCGUUAAGCAUCCCGCCUGGGGAGUACGGCCGCAAGGCUAAAACUCAAAGAAAUUGACGGGGGCCCGCACAAGCGGCGGAGCAUGCGGAUUAAUUCGAUGCAACGCGAAGAACCUUACCUGGGCUUGACAUGUUCCCGACAGCCGUAGAGAUAUGGCCUCCCUUCGGGGCGGGUUCACAGGUGGUGCAUGGUCGUCGUCAGCUCGUGUCGUGAGAUGUUGGGUUAAGUCCCGCAACGAGCGCAACCCUCGCCCUGUGUUGCCAGCACGUCAUGGUGGGAACUCACGGGGGACCGCCGGGGUCAACUCGGAGGAAGGUGGGGAUGACGUCAGAUCAUCAUGCCCCUUACGUCCAGGGCUUCACGCAUGCUACAAUGGCCGGUACAACGGGAUGCGACACGGCGACGUGGAGCGGACCCCUGAAAACCGGUCUCAGUUCGGAUUGGAGUCUGCAACCCGACUCCAUGAAGGCGGAGUCGCUAGUAAUCGCGGAUCAGCAACGCCGCGGUGAAUGCGUUCCCGGGCCUUGUACACACCGCCCGUCAAGUCAUGAAAGUGGGUAGCACCCGAAGCCGGUGGCCUAACCCUUUGUGGAUGGAGCCGUCUAAGGUGAGACUCGUGAUUGGGACUAAGUCGUAACAAGGUANCC
rnacentral:rRNA from 1 species